UAUGAAUGAAAGUAAUUUACCUGUUAAUGCGUCCUCUUUGCAGUUUCCAAAAGGCAAAAAAAGGUUUGGCAACCUAUUUGAGCCAGGUGAAAUAUGGUUCUUGGACUAAUUAUAAAGGAAGCAACCAAUUCUGGCAAAUUCUGGUCCUGGCAGGUGGCGACUUCACACCUGUUGGACUUGAAGACUACCUUGUCCAGACAAAUGACGAGGUCCACCUGCGUUUCGUUCCGCCAUCUUCCUGCAGGUUCCUGAAUAACACUGAGGGAUGCUCGACAAUCUUGCAAUAUUUGUCACUCACUUUAACAAAUUUGUUUAUUGGAUAUGGAAAUUAGAUACAAAAUUGACAUGGAAAUGGAACAUAUAAUUAAAUAAAGGAUUGAUUCAUCAUAUGAGUAUCAUUAUACUUUGUUCUCGCACACACACACACACACACACACACACACACACACACACACACACACACACACACACACACACACACACACACACACACACACACACACACACACACACACAGAGACACACA